rnacentral:lncRNA from 1 species
UUUUUUCCAAAAACAAAUACUAGGACAAGAGACUCUUAGAGGCCAACUCCAGUUCUCAUUAGUAGAACGACAGUGUCACAGUUAGAGACAGGAAGGGCAGAAGGACAAGCUGAUGAGGGGGUUCCGAAGCCACGAUGUGGGAUCAGGUGAGGAGGUAGGUUUGGAACCCAUCCCUUCGCUCCAAAGAUUCAUAUUAUUUGGCAUCCGUGUGCCAGGCACUGAACCAGGCAAAGGGGGUAGAAGAAUGCCCACCACCGACAAUAACUUAACCAAUAGGAGGAUUUCAGAUUGUGCUCAGUGCCUGGAAGUUAAUUAGCAGAGGAUAGAGAUGAAUUAAUGCUCGGAAUGGACUUAGAGAGUGGCAGGAAGGGGAUGUGGCAACUGAAGUGAAAUCCCAAAGGAGCAGUCGAAGGCGAGGGUGGGCUAUCAGGAGGGAUCAGGGUCUGUUGAGGAGGGCACCAGAUCCCGGACUCCGGGGUGGGGGUGAGCGGAGCUUGUGUUGUUCACAGACAUGAGUGGGAGCGGAGAGAAUGGGGAGUCUUGGUGUCGGGGGCGCCAAGGCCGUAAGGAGACACCGUCUUACAGCCAGAGGGGAGGCAUUUUUUAAUUUUGUCACCACCACCGAGGAAAAACACUGAGGGGUUUCAAGCAGCGAAAUGACCCUACACGCUCUUGGUUUUGCAAAGGGCACCUGCGGUUGCUCGAUGGGAUUAAAUUGAGGGGAGAGCAGAGUGGAGCACCCACUCAGGGGCGACGGUGGUGGUCGUAGAGCAAGGUCAGGGAGGCCAGGAAAUGGACAGAGAUGGCAACACGAUGCCACUCUCUGCCUGCUGUGGUUCUCGGCACUGGUGGGCGGUCCCCCGUGGGUUUUCAUUCCCGAAAAUAAGACUCCAGGGGCUAGGGAUGCCUGGGUGGCUCAGUGGUUGAGCGUCUGGCUCAGGUAGUGAGCCCGGGGUCCUGGGAUCGAGUCCCGCAUCGGGCUCCUUCCCCCACGGAGCCUGCUUCUCCCUCCGCCUGUGUCUCUGCCGGUCUCUGUGUCUCUCAUGAAUAAAUAAACAAAAUCUUUAAAAGAAAAAAGACAAGACUCCGGCGGGGGGGGGGGGGCGGGCAGCGCUUAUAAUUAGGACUCCCAAAUGUAUCAAAAGUAUUUUCCAGGGUCUGACAACUCUUGCAUUCGCCCUGUUUUCCAUUUAGUGACUCUGAAAGUUGAUUAACUGUGAUCUUAGAAAGUCUGGAAUUUUAAACCUGCUUAAGAAUCAUCUGGAGGGUACGGGUUAAAGAGGCAGGCUGAUUGCUGGGCCCACUCCUCAUGAUUCUGACUCGGGAUGUCUAGAAUGGAGCUCAGGAGCUUGUAUUGAGAACCUCAAGGAAGUCAAAUACAGCACAGUUUGAGAAACAAUGUGUCAGGGCUGGUCCUUCCAUCCUGCCUUUGGAAUAAUAGGGCAGUCUUCUGAGUCUUCUUGGUUAGUUUUCAACUGAGACAAUAGUCUGGCUGGGCCAGGUUGUGCUGCAGGACAAAAUAAUGCCCCAAAUCACUGUGGCUUACAAGGACAGAGCUCAUCCCCUGGGGGUUACAUAUCCAUUCCAUGUUGGGGGUGGAGGGCCCUGUUCCACACUGUCCUCAUUCAGGAUCCUAAUGGCAACUCUAAUGGGAACUCCGCCUUCUGGAACUUUGCUGGCUGCCGCGUUUGAGGGAAGAGAAGAUGGAGGAUCUGGGGACUGGCUCCUCCCUACUGUAACGUGCUCACUUCCAUUUAUGGUUCCUUGGCCACACCUAACGCUUUGAGGUGUGAACAUGCAAUCCUCUUGUGAGCUGGAAGGAGAAGCAAAUGGAUCUUGGAACCAAUGGCAACUUCUGCACCCGAGGAUACAGGAGGCAAAAAUCAGGCUAAUAAAAAUGGUCCCUAAGCUGUCGAGGAAUACAGGGCACCCAUGGACAGUGGAGUUACUAAAAGAACAUGAAAAUAGUAUUUCCCAAGUUGCUAAAAGCUUCUUUAGAGAGAUUUCUUAAUCUCUAUUAAGUAUUUGAUAUCUGCUAUGGUUAAAUAGAAGAAUAGUUAAUGUGUAUUAAUAGAAAAUCUCAUUAAAAUUUCUUUAAAUAUCUGAUAGUUUUUGAGGACAAGGAACACCGCGCAGAAAUAAUAUAUAUUAACUAAGUCAUGUGAUGGAAUUGUUGGCGGUGCAUAGUCCCACUGUUCCCUGGCCCCGGUGCUUAUCCGGGGUAGUGGAGCACUAAUCUCCCUGUUCUAGCGCCAUCACAUCCGUGUCAGGGUCCCACCAGCUCACUGCUCUGCACCUGUUUCCUCCUCUGUAAAAUAGGAUAGAGAGGGAUAGUGGAUCACUAAUGUCCCUCUCAGAAGAACCCAGAGGCUUCAGUCCUGAUGCGAUCAAAUAUGAGAACUAGUUUUGAGUCACUCACUGUAUGGAAGAAUCACAAUCCAGGAUACACAGCUGUGUUUUAAGCUUCUGGGGAAUGUUCCCUAACACAUCUCACCUGCUCCAAAGGAAUGAAAAUGGCUCCCACCCUCCUAGAUGCUAAAAAUUCAUCAUGUGCUUUAAUAACAUGGGUUUGCAUUUCACUCUUGCCCCUCAUGGGACGUGUGCCUUUAAGUUGCUCAGCCCUCAGAUCUCUUAUCGCCAAAAUGGAUUCUGAUUUGCUUCUAAAGUUCUUGAGAAAAUGAGAUGUGACAAAGGGCUUAGCAUCAAUCUAAGACAUACUAAUAGUUGUUUCAUGAAUGUGGAAUGAAAAAAAUGUCCAAUUAGUGAAUAUAUCAUUAUUAUUAUCAUAGCUUUGUAUGUUGGUGUACACUUGGCCACACUGUGUGACAACCUGUAAUGUUUCUGGAGACUCUUUCUACUCAGAGAAGAAUCUUUUUAUAGACUGCAUUUCCUUCACCAACUAGAACUCACUCAGGCAGCUGGUACAUAAAAUGUCAGUGAAGAAUUUGGUCCCCAUCAGGCCUUGUCUGCCAUCCCACUUGCCAUGACACCAUGAACCCAGUAUUCUCUGAAUUUUUGUUAACCCCGCACCUCAUUCUAAUGUUCCCGAAAACAGCUCUCUGUGCUCCCAUAGCCCUGAGGUCAAGGGAACACACACAUCAUAUGAGUUUCUUUCUGUUUUACAGAUGAGGGAAUGGAGGCAAAGUUUUAGGCAGACGGAUCUCAGUUAUUGGAGGAAGAAGUUUCAAAAGGCUGCUGAGGCCCAUCUCCCUCUGGCUUUUCCUUCUGCUGGGGUUUCUGCCAAAGCAAGGGGGUGUGAGUUGAACAUAUGAGAGAAAAUCUCCAUAAAGGGGUCUCGUUCAGGGCCAAACAUACAGCCACCGGGCCUGUGGUCCUUCACAGUACCGCUCUUGGAAGCCUUGUGGAAGCCAAGAGAACUCUCGGUCAUCUUACAGGGCUAAGUGGACAAGGCAGGUUUCACAUUUUCAAAAUUGCAGUGACAUUAGUCAUCCAUUGUGAGUGAAGGAUCUAUUCAUUUCCUCAGAGCGUCCUUAACCUUGUUAUUCUUUCCCCAGUGCAUCUUCUGGGGAAGGACACACCACGUGCCUCAAGGACCACAGGAGCGGGUGAUGCUGAUUCACCAGAUCGCCACAAUGUGUUUCCCGAUUGUUGAAUUGUGGGCAGACAUUUAUCUCUGUUUACCCUUCUAAAAGUCCUUGGCCAAAAAAGACAGGAUGUACCUCCAAAACACAGCAUGCUCAAAACUGAAAGAACGCUAUGCUAACAGCCUUGCCUCUUUGGAUUUAGCCGGCUCUACGUUACGUAUCAUGGAACAGCUGAAGUCUUUUUCUAAAUUUUAUUGGGUGCCAUUUUGGUAAGAGUGAAAUUGUUGAAAUACUCAGUGUUUGAGACAUGUCUGUAUAUACAGGCAGCAGAUGAAAUGAACAAGAUGAAUUUAGGAGCACUUUGGAUUUAAAGUACAAAAACACACUCUAGUCUGCCUUUCUCUGUCUUGAGCUGGGCUGUGGCAGGGAGAAGGGGUGGAGCUGGAAUCGCAGUAUGGAGUUCAAAUCCCAUUCUGCCACUUACUUCCUCUGGGAUCGUGAUUAAGGGGCUUCACCUCCGUGGAACUGAGGUUCUUCACCUGUAAAAUGGGACAAUAACUAUACCUUGGGACAAUGGGACAAUAACUAUACCUCAUUUUUUUAAUGUUUUUUUUUUUUAAGAUUUUAUUUAUUUAUUCACGAGAGACACAGAGACAGAGGCAGAGACAUAGGCAGAGGGAGAAGCAGGAUUCCUUCGAGGAGCCCAAUGCAGGACUGGAUCCCAGGAUCUCGGGAUCACGACCUGAGCCGAAGGCAGAUGCUCAACCACUGAGCCAUCCACGUGUCCCAUCUUGGGUUCGUUUGAUAACACUUACAGAGUAACUAGCACAGGACUUAAAAGCCAUAGGUUAAAAAAAAAA